rnacentral:lncRNA from 1 species
GCGCAUCUAAAAUUGCCAGAGUAGGACAGCACAUAUUUGCAGGCUAACACAAGCAUUUCUGAAAGGAAAUGCAUUUGGAAACUGAGUGGUAUUGAAGCAUCUAUUUUUCUUGCUAGCAGCACAAUCUGCCACCAGGAAGGUUUUAAACACUUUCCUGACAGAGAGUGCCUGCCUGAAUUUUUUGGUAAUUAAUCAUGCAUAAUACUUUAAAUUCCACACAGGCGGCUGGCUGAAAACCCUCCAGGGAUUGCUGCAUUUGCUAUCCGAAAGUCAACUCCUAUGCCUUCGGAGAGUGAGGAAGAUCAGAGAGGGGCAUUUUUGCCUGUUUUAAUGUCGCCAUCAGUCACCAGGCAAGUCUGCAAUCUUUGCUGCAUCCUUCCAUGGUAUCGGCACAAGCAAGGCUAGGAGGAAAAUGAGCUGCAGAAGGAUCAAAUGACCUGCCUGAGGUGCCCUAUCUGUUGGCACAGGCCAGAGCACAUGGUGGAUGCAGGGGCACCCCCUUCCCUUCUCCUCCCCUCCGGCUCUUUGCUGACAGGAUUCUCUCUUGCCUUCUCUGAUGGUACCUGUGCUACGUGCCACAUCCUUUCCCUCAAUGAAUUUCAGGCAGUGGAAGGGGCCGCAGAAGUUCCUUGACUCAUGAGGCGAGGCAUUCAGCGGCCUCGUGACACCUCCCAGGAUCUGCAGUCAUUGGGCUGCACUUGCCAAUAGCAACACCUGGCAAAAAUAGCUAAGAAGCAGAGCGGCCUGGGCUCAGGAGCUGAGCAACCCCUGACUGGCCAGAUGGAGACUGUGUUGAGCUCUGCCCAAGCCCUGUGAUCCUGGAAAACAGUGAAGUUAAGGAGCCAUCUGCAUUCUAGGGAAUGGCCCACUGCAAAAAAUAGCCUUCCUUAUAGGACGUAGAGGACUCAUGAUGUCCCCUCAUUUAUGAUGAGCCAACACACAGCCCUUCCAAAUUCCGAUUCUUUGCUUCAUAACUGAUGAGCUGUUUUGUUCCCACUGGUCAAUCGGAACAACAUUCUUGCUAACCAGAUUUUGGUUCAGCUCUUCUCCCUCCCCAUGUACCUGCCCUGUGUCCUGUCCUCAUCCUGAGCCAGCACACACCCCUCCUUAGUAGCUCCUCCUGCAGCAGGCUGACCUCGGACUCUCCCUGAUCCAUUGUCCAAAUAUAUCACCCUUUCACCCUACAUCCUCACACCCCAUUCUUUCUAGUUUUGUUCAUUCCUCCCUGUGAAAGAUGAACCCUCUUUGCCUAACCCCGGACCUGCUUGCAGACUGCUAUGAUGGCCAGAGUGUCCCCCCUACUGCAAGAGUCCCUUCUGUCCCUUGCAACAUCUUUUAAAUAAAAUCUCUCUUUACCAA